rnacentral:lncRNA from 1 species
UGUUGUUAGGAUGACAAUAUUUCCCAAUUUGAACAGCAAAUUCAGAGCAAAAUCCAUGGAAAUCUGAGUUGCCAUUAUGCAGAAACUGACUAUCUGAACCUAAAAUUACAUCAAGAUAUGCAAACAGGACCAGAAGAACCAGAACGACUUUUAAGAAGAACAAAAAUGGAGGACUCUACACUUUAAAAACAACCUUCAAGACCAGGGGCUGAGCCCAGCAUACUCAAAGGCUGUGGAUUCAUCAUCAAGAACAAGAAACGGAUGGAGGACCACACAGAGAUACACAAUACCUAAAUGUCCCCACCAUGGUAUGACACAGCCAAGAAAUUUUUCCUAGAAGUUGUGUUAUGCUUUUUUGAUAGCCAGCCUCUGAAACGGUGAAAUAAUUAAAUGUUUUCUCUUUAU